GGAACAGAAGGGAGUCUACAUCAGUCUGGGAGAGCAGCUCAAUGGGGAGGAGCCAGCAGAACAAGCUGUGCAGCAUUCCAGUCCUCGGGUCAGAACCAGCCUCUCCAUGGGUUGUUGGUGAUAAAGCACAGCGCUGCAGCAGGAUGCGAUGGAGGAUGAGAGCGGCUCUGAGCUGCAGCGCCUUUAGUCGUGUGACGUUCUGUUUGUGUUGCUGCAGCUUUCUGAAUGUACCGUGUUUGUUCUGCUUCUUCUUCUUCAUGUGUAUUUAUGGCCUCAGUGAGAUGUAUUUAUGUACACCAGAAUAUGAUCUAAUAAAAUAACGGAAAACUAA